rnacentral:rRNA from 1 species
UCUUCCCUCUUUCUUCGUGCCUAAUACAUGCAAGUCGAGCGAACAGACGAGGAGCUUGCUCCUCUGACGUUAGCGGCGGACGGGUGAGUAACACGUGGAUAACCUACCUAUAAGACUGGGAUAACUUCGGGAAACCGGAGCUAAUACCGGAUAAUAUAUUGAACCGCAUGGUUCAAUAGUGAAAGACGGUUUUGCUGUCACUUAUAGAUGGAUCCGCGCCGCAUUAGCUAGUUGGUAAGGUAACGGCUUACCAAGGCGACGAUGCGUAGCCGACCUGAGAGGGUGAUCGGCCACACUGGAACUGAGACACGGUCCAGACUCCUACGGGAGGCAGCAGUAGGGAAUCUUCCGCAAUGGGCGAAAGCUUGACGGAGCAACGCCGCGUGAGUGAUGAAGGUCUUCGGAUCGUAAAACUCUGUUAUUAGGGAAGAACAAAUGUGUAAGUAACUAUGCACGUCUUGACGGUACCUAAUCAGAAAGCCACGGCUAACUACGUG